UGAAACAAGAAACAGCAUUGUUCAGUCACAUACGAGAUUCAUAUCAUACAUACAGUUUUUGGGAAAGUUCAGUAUGUUUCUGAGUGGACUCCUGCUGCUCUUUCUGCUUCCUGAUUGGACAGAAAGUGCUGGUUGAGACUGUGGACAUCAGUACUCUAGCACGUAUUAUUGAUUUCUUCGAGCAAAACUAUAAGAGAGUCGAUGGAGAUAAACAUCCUCGUCAGUAUGCUACGGCCAUCAACGUGCCAAAGAAUCAGUGUCAGCAGAACUUCAUUCCUUCACAGAACAGCUUCCUGACUCAAGAGGAUGCUGCAAAUGUGAAAAAUGCUAUUACUGAUGACACUAAGGCACUUUACCAAGGUGCAGAACUCAUCGCUGCAGGAACCAAAAAGGUUGUGAUUAAAAAGAAGAAUUACAACAUUCAUUCAGAGUCUCUUCUGCUGAAUCCUGCUGACAACUCAGCCAUGACCAAACUAUUAAAUAAAAGAAAAGACGGCUGCUCGGUUUUCUACACAUUUGAAUCUCCCUGUGUUGACUCGUGUCUGAAUGCGUCAAGGGACCACAACAUUUUAAAAGGCAUGGAGAACUGGAAAAAACACAGAGGAAUUAAAGCUUUUGUUUUUAAGAAUAUCUGGAAGCGUGACCUUGAAAAAAAUCUUUCGACUAUAUUAAAGCAGAUCGUGGCUCAUGUUCCUCUCUACCGCUGUGUGAGAGAGAAUCAGUGUUAUGCUUGUAAAGGGGAAGGAAACACCCCCAUAGACGCACACUGUCUGCCUCCAAAAAAGACCAGAGAUGAAUUGUAAAAGUUCUGUGAGUCUGUAUUAAGAUCUGCUGUCUUUUGUGCUAUUGAUUUUGAAAA